UACGUAGGGGCCUAGCGUUGUCCGGAUUUAUUGGGCGUAAAGAGCGCGUAGGCGGCCUGACAGGUCUGCUGUGAAAACUCGAGGCUCAACCUCGAGAUGUCGGCGGAAACCGUCUGGCUAGAGUCCGGAAGAGGAGAGUGGAAUUCCUGGUGUAGCGGUGAAAUGCGCAGAUAUCAGGAAGAACACCUAUGGCGAAGGCAGCUCUCUGGGACGGUACUGACGCUGAGACGCGAAAGCGUGGGGAGCGAACAGG
rnacentral:rRNA from 1 species